AUGCUUACCUGGAAUGGGCAGAUACCAUAAUCAUAAAAGUGAUUUUCCCAGGGCAAGGCUUAUCCAUUGCACUCUGGAUUUACUGAUCUGUGCAAUUUACUCAAAUAUGGGAACUUGAUUGCAUAAUUUGUGGUAGUGAGGGAAUGUGUUCACACUCUUCCCCA
ensembl:snRNA U1 U1 spliceosomal RNA